GAUGAACGCUGGCGGCGUGCCUAAUACAUGCAAGUCGAGCGAACGGACGAGAAGCUUGCUUCUCUGAUGUUAGCGGCGGACGGGUGAGUAACACGUGGAUAACCUACCUAUAAGACUGGGAUAACUUCGGGAAACCGGAGCUAAUACCGGAUAAUAUUUUGAACCGCAUGGUUCAAAAGUGAAAGACGGUCUUGCCGUCACUUAUAGAUGGAUCCGCGCUGCAUUAGCUAGUUGGUAAGGUAACGGCUUACCAAGGCAACGAUGCAUAGCCGACCUGAGAGGGUGAUCGGCCACACUGGAACUGAGACACGGUCCAGACUCCUACGGGAGGCAGCAGUAGGGAAUCUUCCGCAAUGGGCGAAAGCCUGACGGAGCAACGCCGCGUGAGUGAUGAAGGUCUUCGGAUCGUAAAACUCUGUUAUUAGGGAAGAACAUAUGUGUAAGUAACUGUGCACAUCUUGACGGUACCUAAUCAGAAAGCCACGGCUAACUACAUG
rnacentral:rRNA from 1 species